UUUGUGGUUGUUAUCUACGCACUAGUGUUUUCCUUUUCAGUUAGUACAAUGUUUGAAAAAAAAUCGGGGGAUAUCGAUAAGGUUCGUGCCUCUCGCACCAAAUAUAUGGCGGGGUUGGCCGAAGGAUGAGAUCUCACUGAGCUUUGGGUUUGUGAUUCUUCUCUCUUGAAGCGCUUUCCUGAAAUAAUUAUGUUAUCUGCACUAAAACCUUUCUCCUGUCUCUGUUGCUAAAUUCCUGAAAAGCUCUAUGAACGUGGAGUGCAAGAAUAUCUGCAGCGGAGCAUUAAUCUAUUUUGUGGGACUUCCUUGGUUCUGCUGAGGAGCAUGAUCAGUCAGUGUCAUGAUGGUCACAAUCUGUUCUUUCAAAAAUGAGGGAUUUGUAAGAGCCUGCACUCACUCAGGGGGUCUACAUGUGACAAAAUGGCAGCUAACUCUGGGAAGCCUACAUGGGAUCAACUGGGCAACAUGGCUGGAUCCGAUGCUAACAAACUGCAAGGGUUUCUGGCAAAUGGUGACAAACUGCUACCAACAGAAAGAAAAGAACAGUCAUGCGGGAGCUACUACGUUUGAAGAGUAUGAAAUGCAUGACUUGACUCGAAGCCGGAAAGCAGUCCAGAGAACAGUUCAACCUUUGAAAAGUUCUCUCUGUCCGUUCCAGAUGUUUUGCUUGAGGUUCUUCUUAGACCAACACCCAAAGGGCCUGUGUAGGACGACUUGCAACUCUCAGCAGUAAUUUCAUAGAAAGAUCACAAAGAAGAUGGAUGCUGGUGUUACCAGGUCUUGGCGUCUUGGUCGUUCGAUAAUACCCAGAAGUAAGAAAACGAUGGGAUGUGUGCACUUUCCAAGUGACACAAGAAGCAUUUUGGGGGUCAGUUGGACAAAGCCUCCAGCAGCAAAACAUGGUGUUGCUGUUCCUGCUACCAGCAGAGAAACCACAAUGCUCUGCUUUGGAAACCACUAUGCUCUGCUUUGAAGUUCACGAAAAUGGGUCGAAAAACAAAAUAAAAUGAUCGGAGCAUUUUUGCCCGCCUGGUAGUCUAGCAAAUGUUUCUAUUGGUGGGCUUCAAGUUUACCACAUGCCUGAGGUGGGAAAAGCAACUGAAAAUGUCUACAGAAAUGCAAGCAUAAACCAAAGACUUGAGGAACCAUGCAUCUUGACUGCCUGCUGAGUCUAUUCACCACAGCCACCGUAAUAUUUUUCUCACCAAAUAGCCUGUCAACCACGGCAUGCGUGACCCGGACCAUGCAAAAUGGUUCCCACUAUCUGCACUUUAUAAAGGGAACAUACUCCUACUGUCCUAUACCAUUGGAAGCCGCAGGCCAGCAGCAAAAUGGUGGCUACUCCCAUUCUGCACCACCUCCACAUCCUCACGCUCCUCCUCAUAUGCUCCUGUUCCAUGCACGCUUCAGCCAACACCACCACCGCCGUCCCCUGCCUCCCAGACCAAGCCUCGGCCCUCCUCCACCUCAAACAUUCCUUCACACAUGCAAACCUACCGUCAUGGCGAGCUGGAAAAGACUGCUGCCACUGGGAGGGCGUCGCGUGCGACGCAGCCUCCGGAAGGGUCAUCUCCCUUAACCUCAGCAACAUCGACGCAACGAUCCACCGCGUCGACACCGCACUCCUCAACCUCACCUCCCUGAAGAGCUUGAGCCUCACCACCACACGCAUUUCCGAGGGGCUCUCUACACUGAGCAAGCUUCCCUCACUGAACACUCUGGAGCUUCAUGGGUUGAGCUCCUCGGACCUGGUAGGCCCGGAGCUAUCUUCGAUUGGCGAUAUCAGGCAGCUGACAUCUCUGCACCUCGAGGGCUAUGAUUUCUCUCGGUCACAACCCUCUUGGAUCGGCAAUCUGACGGGCUUGGCGCACCUGCGCAUGCACGGUUGCAGUUUCGCCGGGCCAGUGCCUGAUCAGAUUGGCACUCUUGCAAAGCUGACGCUGCUGGAUUUGGAAAAUUGCAACUACACCGGGCAAUCGGUUCCUUCAUGGAUUGGAAACCUUACAAGGUUGACAACGUUGAGUAUCCAAGGUUGCCGGCAUUCUGGGUCGAUUCCCUCGGCAAUCGCAAACUUGACCCGGCUUGAAGUUAUACGGCUAGGGAACAACAGCCUUGUCGGGAAAAUUCCACAAUCGUUGUUCGCUUUUCCAGCAUUGAAAGUGCUUUCCCUAAAGAACAAUCAACUCUCUGGUCAUCUUGAAGACAUUCCUUUCCCUCUAUAUUCAUCCUUGUCUACUGUUGAGAUAAACGACAACCAGUUAACUGGCCAUAUACCCAAAUCAAUCCUUCAGCUUAAACAUCUUGAAUACCUCAACCUUGAAUCAAAUAGAUUGUCAGGCACAAUCAAACUAAGCCCUUUCUGGAGGUUGGAGAGACUCUUUUUUCUUAGUCUAUCCAAUAACAAGCUAUCAAUCGCCGACGAAGAAGGUGCUGACGUUUUAAAAUCUCUUCCUAACAUCUACCAGAUACACCUUGCAUCCUGCAACCUCACAAAAUUUCCGGGUUCACUGAGAUAUCUAGAUAAAGUUUCUGUUCUUGACCUUUCAAGUAAUCAAAUAAAUGAUGUUAUACCAAGUUGGGUAUGGGAGAACUGGAAGGACCAGCUUGAGAGUUUGAACCUCUCGCGCAACAUGUUCACGGCUUUGGAGAAGUUUCCUUCUCUUGUUCAUAUGCCACGCCUAACUGCUCUUGAUCUCAGCUUUAAUAGGCUUCAAGGCAGCAUACCAAUACCGGUAACUGCAGUGUCUGGGAAUGUAUUAGAUUAUUCAAACAAUAACUUCUCUUCCAUUCUUCCUGACUUUGGAAGAUAUAUUAGAAGCUUCUACCUCAAUUUGUCCAAGAAUAAAUUAAAUGGUUAUGUACCAUCUUCCAUCUGCAGUGCAAGCCAUCUCAAUAUCUUGGACCUGUCUUAUAACAAUUUUAGUGGAUCACUCCCAUCAUGCCUUAUUGGAAGUGGGAAACUAACCGUGUUGAAGUUGAGAGAAAAUCAAUUCAACGGGACGUUCCCUGAAAAUAUUAGAGAGGAGUGCAAGUUUCGAACAAUAGAUUUGAACAGAAAUCAAAUUGAAGGUGAACUACCAAGAGCAUUGUUAAAUUGUCAAGACUUAGAGCUUCUUGAUAUUGGUAACAAUCAGGUCCGCGGUUCCUUUCCAUCUUGGUUGGACAUUCUUCCAAAGCUUCGGGUCCUUGUCUUACGGUCCAACCAGCUCAAUGGAACAAUAAGGGAUCUUGAUGGUGACCAUGGAACCACCAACCAGUUCCCUAGUUUGCAAAUACUCUGUUUGGCUUCCAACAGAUUCUAUGGACACCUGCCAAAAGGAUGGUUUAAUAAAUUCAAAGCAAUGAUGGAAAAUGUCAACGAGGAGGGACGAGUUUUAGGCUAUUACACAAACACAACGCAUGGAUUUUAUCAAGACACUGUUACCAUCACACUUAAGGGAUCCGACCUUAUUUUCACCAAGAUUCUAACUACUUUCAAAGCAAUCGAUUUCUCAAACAACUCAUUUGAUGGCCAUUUUCCAGAGUCAAUUGGGAAUCUUGUUUCGCUUCACGGGGUUAAUAUGUCAUCCAACAACUUCACGGGACAAAUGCCAUCUAGCUUCAGUAACUUGUCUCAGCUGGAAUCGUUGGACCUCUCUUGGAACCGGAUUUCAGGAGAAAUCCCGCAAGUGCUGACCUCUCUUACCUCUCUUGCUUGGUUGAAUCUUUCAUACAACAACUUGGUUGGAAGAAUACCGCAGGGUAACCAGUUCUUGUCAUUUCCCAAUAGUUCAUUUGAAGGCAACGUGGGGCUAUGUGGAAAUCCGCUCUCUAAACAAUGUGAGACUACAGAUUCAACUGCUUCAAGUGCAUUGGCCCCUCCUGAACCUUAUAAUUUGUGGCAGGAUAGACUUGAUGCCAUCCUUCUCUUCACAUUUGUUGGCCUGGGGUUUGGAGUGGGCUUUGCAUCGGCAAUUACGUUCCGAAUGUUUUGCCACAUCAAAGGAUUGGACUGCAAGCAAUGCAACAAGGAAGUAUGAAUAGAAGAAGGUACAAGCUCAGGAAUUAUUAGAGAACAGUAUAUGAGAAGUACAACUGGAGUUUAUCAUCCCCUGAUCAUCCUACAAGUAGAGUGAUGCGGAGUAAAAAUAAAAAUUUUUUGAAGAUUUUAAAAGCACAAAUGUGAGUUCGGUGUACCGGUAGCACGAUAAGCUCGGGUGCACCGGAUAUUUUCCCCAUCUUGAGGACAUGCUUGGCACCAUUCGGGACCGCCGCGGAGAGGUCCAGUCCGCUGGUGUUGCCAGGCAGUGCCGCGAAGAAGUCGGGGCACUCCCACAUGGUGGAUGAGUUGGAGGAGUAGAGCGGGUGAUCAACCCUGCUCCAACUCGCAAAGUCCUCACUCUUGUACAAGAGUGCCGCACUGUAGCCGUCCAGCUCGGCCCCAACUGCUAUCCUCCACUGCCCAUCCGGUCCGGUCCAGCCGGUCGUCGGAUCCCUGAACUGUUUUGGGGUCAGACCCGGCCCAUCCGGCCGGAUCACCGGGUUGCUGCUGGGCUUGGUCCAUUCCCUGAGGUACGGGUCGGAGCUGUUACUCGGGAAGGCGAUGCAUUGGGCUUGGUUCUUCACGUCGUCUGCGCCGGUGUAGAGGAUGGCUGGCCGGCCAUCGGUGAGGACAGUGACUGAGCCAGACCAGCAGCCCCUGGCAUCGUAGGGCUCGGUCCGGUCCAAUGCCGACGCGAGCCUGAGCCAGUUGACGAGGUCGGUGGAGACCGAGUGGGCCCAGGUCUUGUUGCCCGGAACCACACUGCCGGGGUUGUACUGGUAGAAGAGAUGGUACAAGCCCUUGUAGUACAGAGGUCCUGAUGAAUGAAGCAACUAGUUACAUCCAUCUACUGCUCUACGAUUGAUUUUAUCUUUGAUAAUUAAGAGUAAGGGAGAUGCAUACAUAGCUGCAUACCAUUUGGAUCUGUAUGGUCUUGGUGGCGAGGAUUUCCAUGCCGUGUGAAACAAUGAUGAAGAAAUGUUAGAUAUAGAAUUCAGAACCCAAAUGUGUAACAAAUAUGUUUCUGACAUUGCAGCGGCCAAAGGGGAAAAUUGAAGGCAGGUGAAGAAGCUAAAUUAUCUGACAAGCUUCUCCGGACCAUACAGACAAGCGACUAGUGCAUCGCUAUAACAUUAAUUUACAAUGCAAUCAAGUGAAGGUUCAGACUAACAGU